rnacentral:lncRNA from 1 species
UCAAGUUUUAAACGAAAUAUAAAAAGGGUAAAAGGUGAGACCUGAGCAUGGGUUAGGAUAGAGUGAAGAGCAUGGAAGCAAAACUGAAUGCUGUUUCCAAAAAAAACCAUCAUAUAGGAAACAGAAUCGAGCUAGAUCCAAAGAAAUUUUUCACAAAAGUACUCCAAAACUCUCAUCGAAAGGAUGGGUGGGUGAAUUUUUUGCCAAUUUUUUAUUACCACAUGGGGGCCACUCAUCUGAGUUCUCUAGUUCACAGAGUUCUGUACAAGGGGCUUUAAAU